rfam:Cricetulus griseus cell line CHO-K1, whole genome shotgun sequence.
GGUUCCACGGUGUAGUGGUUAUCACAUCUGCUUUACAUGUAAAAGGUCCUGGGUUCCAGCCCCAGUGGAAGCA